CCGUUAGAAGGAGCAUUGAGGAGUAGAUACCCACUUGCCAUGGCCUGUGGGCCGGGGGAUCUUCAAAGCCUUACAUCUCCGCUUUCCUCUGCCAGAUUAGAUUAUCAGCCGUCUAUUGAAGGGCCCUGGCUCCGGGCCUGCGGUCAGACCAACGUGUCCUGCAGGGUGGUGAAGGGGAAGCUGGUAGAGGUAGGCAAGUGGCCAUGGCAGGUGAGCAUCCUUUUCCUGGGCACGUACAUCUGCAGUGGCUCCCUCAUCCACCACCAGUGGGUCCUCACGGCUGCGCACUGCUUGCAGAGAUUCAAGGACCUCAGCCUGUACUCCGUGAUGGUGGGAGUCCACCAGCGCCCAGAAAAUAGCACUCAGCUCCCGCUCACUCGCAUGGUGAUUCAUAAGGAUUUCAGCAAUCUCAUGUCUCAGGACAUUGCCCUCCUAAAGCUCAGGGACUCCAUCUCGUGGUCCCCCUUCGUCCAGCCUGUCUGCCUCCCUAACAUCAAAUUCAAGCCAUCCAUUGGAAGCAUGUGCUGGGUAAUCGGCUGGGGAACUACAGGGAAAAAAGGUUGACUCUGGAAGCUCCCUUGUCUGCCAAAUGGACAAGACCUGGAUUCAGAUAGGAGUGGUAAGCUGGAGCUUUAGUUGUGGCCAGCGCCACUUCCCAGGUAUCUACACCAGCACUGCCCACUUCAACCAGUGGAUCAGGACUGAGGUUGCUAACAUAAGGUUCAUCAGUAGGGCUGGCCCUGCCUUCCUGAGCCCAGUUUUCCUCACUGGCUACAUUCUACUGGGCUCCUUGAGCUCCCUGUGGCUCCUGUGAGCGGUGUUUCAAGGACAGUCCCUCCCAGAGGCUGCUUCUCCCUCCCCUCUGUUCUACCCUCAGAAGUGGAGACGAGAGGUUGCCCAGGAUGGCAGGGCAGAGUGAGGGGGAGGGUCCGAGAGCCACUGUUACUUUCUGUUGUUCAAUGAAGAUGCUUUUGAACUUU